CUGUUAACCCACUUCCACUACUGCUGUGUUCUGAUCUUUUUUUCAAAACACUGAAAGAGUUAAUGUUCCUGUUUGGGCAGUUACUUUCAAAUCGAAAAUGAAAGUGCUUCACUGGCAGGGAAGGACGUCACUCCCUUUUCAGUGUUCGAAGGAUAUACCAGAGACUGUAUACUCGAGGUUUUGUAGACAUGGCACAAACACAUGAGUCAUGGAAAAAAUUCUUUGUGUGGGAAGCAGGAAAAACAAAUGGGGCCCAACUUCCAGUUGUUCAAAUGCUCAAAAGUAUUGGACAAACAGACGUGACCUCUGCAACGGAAUGUGACUACCUUCUAGUCUUCUGUCCUGUUGUUUCACGAGUUGGAACGGACAUCGGCGAGGCCCUGCACAACAUAACUCCUGGCAAACCAGUAAUACUGGUAGUGAUGCAUCACACCUUCAAUCCUCACCAUGUUGUAGCUGAAAGCCGGAGGCAGGUGGACAACCCAAAUGUCCACCUAACUGUGGACUGUCUGUUUCAUGAAGGCCGUCUCCUCAAUUGCAACCUCAAUGAUACCAUGUCGAGUGACAUCAAAAGAUUUUUUGGUUCUGAAUCCCCAGCUCCAGCCUUAAUUCACAACUUGAUGUCUUUGUGGCAACGCAUCCCAAGUUUCUUUUUAGGUUUCUUCAUCUGGAAAAUAUUUGGACUUUGUUGCUCCAGUAUUUGGAAUUUAUUCAUGUCGUAGCCGGAAAGCCUGUAUGCUGCAACCUUCUACACCAUUCAAGUCAUUGCCAACUGCAUCAACCUUUUUGCGGAUGUGCACAUCAGGUUGUGUGGGAGGUUUAGGUAGCCCCAUCUGGAAAAAAAUCAGACCUUGCUUGAAUCCUCUGGUACAUAUGGCUGGAUUGAUUAUUCCUUUGCUGAUGGCAGUUGUGACAUCAUUCAGCUCCAAAAUAUGGAAGAGAAAUAAAAGCGGGAAAUGAGGACUGCAAAACAAAAUCCAAAUGCAAUAAUUUAACAAUAUCACAGUAUGUUUUCUUGAUACUGUAUAUAAAACAAAAUAUAAGUAAUAUAUCCUGCCUUUGUAAUCAUUAAAGAUGUGUUAGUUAUGUGUUAUUGUUAUGAAAGCUGGUAUAGAUGUUUUAGGGAUGAAUCUUUUGAUCAUUGGUACUGUAGCAUGUUAAAGAUGAAAUGUUGCUUUACUCACAUGUCCAAGGCAAGACUGAAAAGUGAGCUUUAAGAAAACAGAACCAUUUCUUUCCCAGUUAUUGCAGACAUGCUUAUAUAUUUUAAAAUAAUAAAUUUAUUGAGAGGAUAUCUUGGUGUCAUUUGUUGCUUUUGUUCAUUCUGAAUUAGUGACAUUAAAAACUGUUUCUGAUUUAGGGUUAGACGUUACAGCUGUAACAAAUUGCAAAAUUGCAUUUUCGCUUAAAAUCUUGAAUUAAAAUGUACACACAAUGAGAAUGUUAAGCGUGGAACACAAUAAAACCAGAGACUGCCCCGCC
ensembl:lncRNA